GAUUCCGCAAGUAGUGGCGAGCGAACGCGGAAGAGCCCAAACCGGUGCCGUUUCGGCGGGGCCGGGGUAGAAGGACCGACAGAAGGACAAAGGAAGCAUAGCCGAACAGUAUUGGAAAAUACGAUCAGAGACGGUGAUAAUCCGGUAGGCGAAAUGCGGAGCUUGACAGUCGGUAUCCUGAGUAGUGCAGGACACGAGAAAUCCGGUACGAAUCAGCGGGGACCAUCCCGUAAGGCUAAAUACUCCCGAGAGACCGAUAGCGCACCAGUACUGUGAAGGAAAGGUGAAAAGAACCUCGAACAGAGGAGUGAAAAAGACCCUGAAACCAUUCGCCUACAAGCGGUCGGAGCCACUACGUGUGGUGACGGCGUGCCUUUUGCAUAAUGAACCUACGAGUUACCCAUACCGGCCAGAUUAAGCGAUUCAGUCGCGGAGUCGAAGCGAAAGCGAGUCCUAACAAGGCGGAUAGUCGGUAUGAGUAGACGCGAAACCAAGUGAUCUACCCAUGAGCAGGUUGAAGGUUAGGUAACACUAACUGGAGGACCGCACCGGUAAACGUUGAAAAGUUUUCGGAUGACUUGUGGGUAGGAGUGAAAGGCCAAUCAAACUUGGAGAUAGCUCGUACUCCCCGAAAUGCAUUUAGGUGCAGCCUCGGGCCAGUAUGUAAUAGAGGUAGAGCCACUGAUAAGUCGCGAGGGUUUCAACGCCUAUCAAGACUUGACAAACUCCGAAUACUAUUACAGGUACCCCGGGAGUGAGGGCAUGGGUGCUAAGGUCCAUGUCCGAGAGGGAAAGAACCCAGACCAUCAGCUAAGGUCCCGAAAUAUAUGCUAAGUUGAAGAUAAAACGAAGUAGAGACCCUGAGACAGCUAGGAUGUUGGCUUGGAAGCAGCCAUUCAUUUAAAGAGUGCGUAACAGCUCACUAGUCGAGGGACUCCGCAUGGAUAAUAAUCGGGCAUAAGCAUAUUACCGAAGCUAUGGAAUAGAAUUAUUGGUAGGGGAGCAUUCCAGUCGCCGUCGAAGAUAUACCUUGAGGUAUGUUGGAGGCCCUGGAAAAGCAAAUGUAGGUAUAAGUAACGAUAAAGGGGGCGAGAAACCCCCUCGCCGUAAGACCAAGGAUUCCUGAUCAACGCUAAUCGGAUCAGGGUAAGUCGGGCCCUAAGGAUCAUCCGAAAGGAGAAGCCGAUGGAAGAAACGGUUAAUAUUCCGUUACUACGAUAAAGAGUGACGGGGAGACGGAGAAGUGACACAUCCGCCUGCUGACGGAAUAGCAGGUUAAAGAGUGUAGAUAAUGGCUGGAUAGGCAAAUCCGUUCGGCCAGUCGAACUUGAGAGUACCGAGCGUCCUCGGACAAUCGGAUAGCGAUGGUAAACAGGCUUCCAAGAAAAUCCUCUAAACAUAUUUUUAUCGUACCCGUACCGCAAACGGACACACGUGGUCGAGUAGAACAUACUAAGGCGCUCGAGAGAUUCACGGUUAAGGAACUAGGCAAAUUGACCCUGUAACUUCGGGAAAAAGGGUCCCCGCUGCAAGGCGGGGCGCAGAGAAUAGGUCCAGGCAACUGUUUAACAAAAACACAGGGCUGUGCAAAAUUUCAAGAUGACGUAUACAGCCUGACACCUGCCCGGUGCUGGAAGGUUAAGAGGAGAAGUCAUUCGCAAGAAGAAGCUUUGAAUUGAAGCCCCAGUAAACGGCGGCCGUAACUAUAACGGUCCUAAGGUAGCGAAAUUCCUUGUCGGGUAAGUUCCGACCUGCACGAAUGGUGUAAUGAUCCGGACACUGUCUCAACCGUGAGCUCGGUGAAAUUGUAGUAUCGGUGAAGAUGCCGAUUACCCGCAACGGGACGAAAAGACCCCGUGAACC
rnacentral:rRNA from 1 species